GACGAACGCUGGCGGCGUGCCUAAUACAUGCAAGUCGAGCGGACAGAAGGGAGCUUGCUCCCGGACGUUAGCGGCGGACGGGUGAGUAACACGUGGGCAACCUGCCCCUUAGACUGGGAUAACUCCGGGAAACCGGAGCUAAUACCGGAUAAUCCCUUUUUCCACCUGGAGAGAGGGUGAAAGAUGGCUUCGGCUAUCACUAGGGGAUGGGCCCGCGGCGCAUUAGCUAGUUGGUAAGGUAACGGCUUACCAAGGCAACGAUGCGUAGCCGACCUGAGAGGGUGAUCGGCCACACUGGGACUGAGACACGGCCCAGACUCCUACGGGAGGCAGCAGUAGGGAAUCUUCCGCAAGUGGACGAAAGUCUGACGGAGCAACGCCGCGUGAGUGAGGAAGGCCUUCGGGUCGUAAAGCUCUGUUGUGAGGGAAGAAGCGGUACCGUUCGAAUAGGGCGGUACCUUGACGG
rnacentral:rRNA from 2 species